rnacentral:lncRNA from 1 species
AGCAUCCAAGUACUAUUUUCUUAAUAUCUUAAGAAUCCAAUACUCAAAUGUUAUAAAACUUAUGUAAAAAGCUUAUUCUUAUGAAAUUAUACAUUUCCUGAAAUUUUGAGCCAAAACCUUAUCAAAUUGCUCAAGAUAUAGCUCAAGACACAACCACUAGUAAAUCGGAUCACUUAUUAAAAGAAUUCAAAAGAAAUCAACAAUAAACCUUAAAAGAAUUCCUAAGAAAUCAUAAAGAAAUAUAAGAAUAAUUACAAAUAUAUCUUAAAUAAAUCUUAACCAAAUCUUAAUUUAAUCCUAGUUGAAACCUUAAUAGAUUUCAAUCAAAUCCUAGGCCAAAUCCUAAAUUCUAAAUAAAUCCUUAAUCCUAAAUCCUAAGCAAAUUCUUAAUCCUAAAUCCUAAACAAAUCAUAAAUCCUAACUCUUAAGAAAAUCCUAAAUCCUAAAAAAAAUCCUAAACCAAAUCCUAAAUCUUAAUUCAUUUCUAAACUCUAACCAAAUUUUAACUAAGUCCUAAGUAAAUCUUAAAUCUUAAUCUAAU